GAAAUGCGAUAAGUAAUGUGAAUUGCAGAAUUCAGUGAAUCAUCGAAUCUUUGAACGCACCUUGCGCUCCUUGGUAUUCCUUGGAGCAUGCCUGUUUGAGUAUCAUGAAAUCUUCAAAGUAAAUCUUUUGUUAACUCAAUUGGUUUCUACUUUGGUAUUGGAGGUCUUUGCAGCUUCACACCUGCUCCUCUUUGUUCAUUAGCUGGAUCUCAGUGUUAUGCUUGGUUCCACUCGGCGUGAUAAGUAUCUAUCGCUGAGGACACUGUAAAAGGUGGCCAAGGUAAAUGCAGAUGAACCGCUUCUAAUAGUCCAUUGACUUGGACAAUACUUUUAUGAUCUGAUCUCAAAUCAGGUAGGACUACCCGCUGAACUUAAGC
rnacentral:misc_RNA from 1 species